UACGUAAGAGGCUAGUGUUAUUCAUCUUAAAUAGGUUUAAAGGGUACUUAGACGGUAGUAAAUGUCCAAAUAAGGAUACAUCUCUACUAGAGUUUUAUGUGAGGAGGUAGUACUAACGGUGUAGAGAUGAAAUUUGUUGAUACCUCAGGGACUGAUAAAGGCGAAGGCAACCUCUUAUGUAAUAACUGGCGUUAAAGGACGAAGGCACAGAGAACUAACAGG
rnacentral:rRNA from 1 species